rnacentral:rRNA from 1 species
UACGUAGGGGGCAAGCGUUGUCCGGAAUCAUUGGGCGUAAAGAGCGUGUAGGCGGCCAGAUAAGUCCGCUGUGAAAUCUCGAGGCUCAACCUCGAGACGUCGGUUGAAACCGUAUGGCUAGAGUCCGGAAGAGGAGAGUGGAAUUCCCGGUGUAGCGGUGAAAUGCGCAGAUAUCGGGAAGAACACCCGUGGCGAAGGCGGCUCUCUGGGACGGUACUGACGCUGAGACGCGAAAGCGUGGGGAGCGAACAGG